UUCAUUGCAGCAGUCACAAAGGUCUGCCCAGUUUCAAGUAGAGGGAAAAAUAGACUCCACCUCUUGAUGGGGAGGGACAAGGUUCUGGAAGAGCAUGUGGAACUGGAGAUACUCCUAUGGCCAAUAUGCCACAGAGCCCUCUUCUCCUGACUGCUCAUUCGCGGUCCCACUGCCCUGACCUGGUAAGACCCUUCUAGGGGCUCAACCAACAUUGCCCCCUCUCGUCCCAACUUUGGAAGUGAUGGGAGUGGGAGAGGCCCAUGAAAGGCCAUUUACUGAGCACUUCCUACCUGCCAGGUCUUACAGUGGACACUUCCAUGCAUUAUUUCAUUUGAUUCCCACUAUAAUCCUGUUUAGGGAGCCCUGGUGGCACAGUGGUUAAGAACUAUGGAGUGCUAUGGCUGCUAACCAAAAAAGUCAGUGGUUCAAAUCCACCAGCCACUCCUUGGAAAACCUAUGAGGCAGUUCUACUCUGUCCUAUAGGGUCACUAUGAGUCGGAAUCGACUCGAUGGCGAUGGGUUUGGGUUUUUUUGGCUUAUAAUCCUACUUGAUGAGCAAUGUGGCCCCAUUUGUAGGUAAGGAAACUGAGGCUCAGAGAAGUGAGUGACUUUCUGAGGCCACAAGGAGUCAGCAGCGAGGCCAGGAUCCGAAGCCAGGUCUGUGUGGCUUUGAAGGCUCUGAUCUUGCCCCUGCACCAGCUGCCUCCAGGCUCCGGAUAAGGAAGGUGCCACAUGGUGAGGGAUUAAGACCAUGGGACUUGGGAUCAGAUUAACCUGGGUUCUUAUUGAAGCUCUUGGCCUUGAGCAAAUCACUUUUGCCUUUCUGAGCAUCAAUUUUCUCAUCUGUCCAAUGGUGAUAAUAACUUCUACAUGUCAAACUUAAAAAAAGAAGAACUAAUCUCUGUUACAAGCUUGGUAUAGCAUCUGACACAUAUUACUUGGGACCCAGACCACCUUGUCUCACCCUAUUCAGGGCUCACCCAUCUGUGGGGAGCAGAGCAGGUCUGCGGCUGCCUAAAGAAUAGGCCCUCUGCCAUUCACCAAGGGAGAGCCCCUGGGCUCCUACCGGCUAUUUUUAGGCCAGUGUGGGCAACCACAGAAUCACAUGGUUGUAAUAGUGCAGAGCUGUGGGGUUUACCACUGCCUGGCCAAGCCCAGGAGGAAAAGAAAACACUUCUAGUGACAGAUGGUGGGUAUCUGAGGUUAGAAAAGGCUUCACUUGCUUCCCAGCAUCUCUAGAUGACCUCACACAAGUCAGAGAGCCUCUCUGGGCCUCAGUUUUUUGGUCUGUCAAAUGUGGAUAGUAGUAAGAGCAAUAGCUCACAUUUUGAGGUGCUUUCCACAUGCCAGAUGCUGGUCAAACACUUCAUGGGUGUCAUCUGGCAUGAUUCUCACAGUGGUCCUGUGAGGGAGGCUUGAGGGAGGAGGCAGAAGUUGCUCAGCUAGAGGAGGGGGAAGAGACAAAACUAAGCCCAGCUCUUUGAACUGCUCUGCUUCCAGCUUCCCAGAUAGACUGGAAUGAAGGUCAAGAGGAUUAGCUGAGAUUAUGGAUGUGGAUGUUUUUUAAACUGUAAAUGAGAAUGUAAACUGAACAGACCUCAGGGUCAACCUAGGCUGCGGCUUCAAACUGUACUCUGUGGAGACCUUCCUGAGCCCUCCCCAACCCAAGCCUUCAGCCAGAGCAUGUUUCAUUUAUUCAUCUGUUUUCCAUGUGUGAGAUCCUGGUAGGAUUUUAUUUUGGCUCCACUAGCAAAAAAAAAAAAAAAGAAAGAAAGAAAAAGACUUUGGAAACCACUAAGUGUGGGCUGAGAUUGGAGGUGGCAGAGAUAUUUUUCAGGGCCCCAGGUGUCCCGGUCCCUGUUUCCAGGCUCAGUUCUUGGAGGGGCCCAAGCCUCAGGCCUACCCCCAUUCCUCACUCAGGUGGAGCCUCUGACAUUCUUAUUUUUUGGGUCCAGGAAACAAUGUUCCUGGAAGAGCCACCAGCCAUGGUUAGAACCCAGACACCAUGUAAUUCCCCAAGAGGGGAGGAGAGAAGGGAACAAAUGUAUAUUUGUGUGUAUACACGCACAUACGUAUACCUACAGCCAUAUACACACAUACACACCACACACAUCACACAGGCACACACACAUAGAGGCACUCAAAAUAUACAAUGCUGGCAAAAUGGACCUGAGCAUACCAAUGAUUGUGAAGAUGGUGCAAGACUGGGCAACGUUUGUCCUGUUGUCCAUGGGGUCGCCAUGAGUCAGAGAUGACUACACGGCAGCUAACAACAACAAUUACUAUACACUUCCAUGGAUAAAUGGAUAAACAGGUACAUAUACUCAAUAUACCCACAUUGUGAAAGCAGACAUAUUAACAGAUGCUCACACAAACUUGUGCAUGCUGCAUGCCCAUAUAAUCACGGGUAUACAUAUAUACUGCAUUCACACACUUUCAUACACGAUAAUGAUAAGCACAGGUACACCAGCACCUGUAUAUACAACAAAAUCACACCUGUAUAGUCACCCACUGAUGCAGGCACCAACACAUGUGCACACACAUGCAUGCACGCACACACGCACACACCUUUACAAGCAUAAGUACAAGCUUAUCAAGGCUGCAAAUCAUGUGUAAGUACUGGCUUUUUAGCUCCUUGCUGCGGAGCAAUUCUGCAAAGGUGCAGAGACACAAACACCUAGUUCCACUUCACCUGAAAACCCCCAGCCCCUGGGUGCGUGGGUGGGUGAACCAGCCACCCUCCCUGCAGGGGGCACAGUGGAAAGUAUGACCUGAGUUGACUUUUUUCAAUCAGAGAAAGGUGAGGGGUUUUUCCACUGUUUCUUCACCGUGUCAGGAGUGACCAGGGCCACCAUUGCUAAUCCACCUCCCAUUGUCCUCUCUAGCCCUUGGGAACAUUCAGGUUCAAUACCAGGAUUUACUCAGCAAUGGGAGCUAAGAUACACCUGACACCUACUGGGUGCCAGGCCCCCCCAGCUGGGGGCUAGAGGGACAGAGACCAGUUGGACCUGGGCCUUGCCCAUGGGGUUCACAGUCAAGAGAAGAGGUGAUGGGCAGGGUCAAAGCUCUAAAAAUUUAUUCAACUCAUGUUCAUUUUGCCAAUUGAUCAAUUUUUCAUAUGAACAUUUUACUGAAUAUACUAAAUUUAUGAUAAAUAAAUUUAUCGAAUAAGUUAAUAAUGUUAUCUUUCAACUCUAAAAUAUAGAGUUAUUUUUAUUGGAUGGACUAAAAUUUGUUUUCAUUUUGUCUUCACAGCGGCAUUUGAAGAAAUAUUCAGAGAGGCAUGUAAUAUUUGUACCUGGAGAGGGGCUUUCUGGGGCAUCCACCAGGAACAGGGUGCUCUGGGAGCCCUGUAGCAUGACAGGUUUCCAGGACCACCUGCCCCAGAUGGGCAGCCCUGGGCCAGAGAGGCGGAGAGACACGCCCAGGGCUCUACAGUCACGCGCUUAAUGGGGACCAGAACCCAGGCUCCGCCUCCAGCCCCAGGAUCUGCGUGGAGAGGCCCAACUCUACGUCAAUAAUGGCAGAAGUAUCCACGUAGUUGCCCAAGUCAGAAACCCGUCCCAACCUGGACUCCUCACUUCCACCCCUCUCAGUGCAGUCCACUCCCCUAUCCAUCCCCAACCCACCCCCAGCUCGGGUCUCCUUGUCUCUCACCAGGAGCUUCUGCACAGGUCUCCGCAUUCACGCUUGUUCCUGCAAUCCAUCCUCUGUCCAACUUCCUGGGCGAUUUAUCUCCCCGCAAUGCGAGAGCCCACGACAUUGCUCUACAGUUUAUGCCCUUCUACGACUCCUUGUGGAAACCCUGGUGGUGUAGUGAUUAAGUGCUACGGCUGCUAACCAAAAGGUCAGCAGUUCAAAUCCGCCAGGCACUCCUUGGAGUUCAAAUCCGCCAGGCACUCCUUGGAAACUCUACGGGCAGUUCUACUUUGUCCUGUAGGGUCGCUAUGAGUCGGAAUCGACUCGACGGCACUGGGUUUGGUUUGGUUUUUUGGAGGGCUCUUUGUGGCUCAAACGUUACACAUUUGACUGCUAAACAAAAGGUCGGCAGGUCAAAUCCACCAGCCCCCUCCUUGGAAACUCUAUGGGGCAGUUCUACCCUGUCCUAUAGGGUCGCUAUGGGUCCCAAUCGACUAGACGGCAAUGGGUUUAGGGCUUCUUGGCUGGACAUUCGAGGCCCUUCAUGGCACUCCUCAUCUUCCUCUCCACCUACUGUCCCUGAUGUGCCCCUUCGCUCCCUCAAGGCAGAAAUUACUUUCCAUCUGCACAUUGGAGAACCUUCUUGCAUUUGCCCAUGCUGUACCGUCUGCCGGUAACUCCUCCCUCUACACGCCUAUUCCGGCACGCCAGAGGGAAGCUCAGCACUGGCACCCCGGGAUCCCCCACCACAUCCCACCCCACCCCACCCCACCCCGCGAAGCCUUGGAUGAUACUAAUCUCUUUGGCCUGCAUGUUUAGGCCUUCCCCUACCCCUUCUUGAGAGUAGUAAAAACGUUUUAUUGUGAAAAAUUUCAAUCAUACCCAAAAACAGAGAAUAAUACAAAGAACCCCGUGUGUUCCUCACUCAGCUUCAACGCUCACCAACUCAUUCACUCUUGCUUCAUUUAUAUUCUCCAACUUCCUCCCCAUUGUAUUAUUGUGAAGCAAGUCCAAAACAUCAAAUAAUUUUAAACGUUGCAAUAUGCAUUUCUAAAGAUAAAGGCAUGACAGAAUACCGCUACAUAGCUAAAAUUUUAGUAGUAAUUUUUAAUAUCAAACAUCCAGUUGUGUUUACAUUUCCCCAAUUAUCUCAUAAGCGAUCUUUUAAAGUCAGUUUGUCCAAAAUCAGGAUCCAAACAAAGUCCAUACAUUAUGUUUGGUUGUUACAUCUCUUAAGUUUCCUUUGAUCUAUAGGUUUCUCCUCCCUCCCAUGUUUUCUUGAAGAAUUUGUUUAAUAAACCAAGCCUCUUGUCUUGUGCAGUUUUCCAUAUUCUGGAUUUUGCUGACUGCAUCCGCAUGGUGUUAUUUAACAUAUUCUCCAGUCCCCUGCCUUUCCUAUAAAUUGGUUGUUAGAUUUAAAAACUUGAUUAUAUUCAAAUACGAAGUUUUGGCAAAAAUACUUCAUAGGAGGUGUUGUGUGCUUUACCUAGGAGGUGCAUAACGUCUAAUAUCUCCCUUUUAAUGAUGUUAGAAGACUUUAAUCAUCAUUGUAUUGGUUCAUUAUUUCAUUUGAGAUUUAUAAAACAGUGACAUUUUAAUGCUAUUACUACUUCUUCAUUUGUUAGUUCGAAUACUUCUACAAAGAGAAACUUCUCAGCUAUUUGGUGUCUCUGAGGUAGUUUGUUUAGGAGAGCAGGAUAAAUGCUUAGUGCUAUAUACCAAUUUUCAGAAUAGAGUGACUUUCCUACCAUUCUCCAAAGGAGACCAACAAAAGUUUUGCUUGUUUGCUUUUAGCUUUUUUGUAUCAUUAACUGUUUUUUUUUUCUUUUUGUUUUAUAUUUGUUGUAUUUCAAUCCAUUGCAUUUUCCUUGCUAUUACUCUAAUUGUGCUGUCUUUGGCCAGUAAGGACCUCUUUAAUUAACUCCUGAGUCCUUUUGACAUGAUCCUAGCCUUCUGACUCUCUGGCACGAUAAGAUGUCCAGGUUCAUCUUGUAGAUUUUCUGCCCCAGGCCUGGAAUCAACUCUUUAUCUGAGAAGUCUUGGUUCCCUGUAGUGAGAAGGGGUAUUUAGAGACCACAAAUUUGGAUGCUAGGGGUGCCUGAUGCUUCUUGGUCAUUGCUUCUGGGCGUUUUCAGUGUGUAGAGUGGGGACAUAUUUUUUCUUAAGAAAAUAAACAUGAACUCCUAGUGAUAUUUUAAACAAAAUCUAGGGUUAUAAGAUUUUUACUUAAGUUCUUUGAUUUUGCAUUUAUAUUUCUUUUCUCUAAUGCUGGACAUCUUGCUUCCUAAUAUUAACAUGAUUACUGGUUCAUUUUCUUCUAUGUUCUCUCUCUCUCUAUAAAAUAUAAUAAAAAUGUCAGACUAACAAUAUCAAUAAUAUUACUAACAAUAUGAUUACUAAAAACACUUUAUAAUUUGUUAACAUUCUCUUUGUCCUUAGAGUAUACAUCCUACUAGUAGAUGCGUGGAGCCCUGGAGGCACAGUGGGGAGCUCGGCUGCUAACAAAGAGGUCGGCAGUUUGAACCCAACAGCUGCUCCCUGGAAACCCUGCAGGGCAAUUCUACUCUGUCCUAUAGGGUCACUAUGAGUAGAAAUUGACCCGGUGGCAAGGGGAUUUUGUAGAUGUACAAAUCGCUAGGUUUUUAAAUCACUUGAAAUAAUUCCACUCUGCACGGUGAAGUCAGCAACUUGACACACAGAUUCAUUUAUUUCAUUUUGAUAUUUUUUAUUGUUUUUGACUGUAUUUUGAUUUAAUUUUGUUUUGUUAUUAUGUAAAGCAUUUGCCUGGCUCUAAAUUUAAUCUCCAGAACAAGGUGUAUUCAAAGAAGUCUAGCUUCUACCCCCAUUGCCUUUAUCCUAUUUCCUCCUUCCUCCAACAGAUAAUUUUUAAUUUUAUUUUUAGCUGAUUUUUUUAAAUGUAAGAAAACAGGCAUAUAAUUCUAUGUUCCUUUCCCUUUUCUUGAUAAAUGAUAAUUACCAUAUAUGCUUUCUUCUACUUUGUUUUUUUUCCAGCAGUUGUACCCUGCAGAUCACACCAUCACUGUAUACAGAGAUCUCCAUUCCCUUUUCCAACUCCAGGGUCCUCCAUUGUGUGACAACUAAUCCUCGCCGAUGGACAUUUAAGUGGUUUACAGUUUUUACUGUUAUAAAUGAUGCUGCCAUGAAUAGCUUCAUGCAGACAUCUUGUCAAAUUUUUGCCAGUGUAUCUUUGGAAUAGAUUCCUAGAAGUGGGGUUUCUGGGUCAAAAGGUACAAGGAUAUGUAAUUUUGAUAGAAACUGACAAAUUUGCCUCUAUAUAGGGCUUGCACUGUUUUGUAUUUCCACUAGGCAAUGUAUAAGAGGGUCUGUUUUCCCAUAGCCUUGGCAACAUGCUCUCACAUUCUUGGACUUUUGCCAAUAUGAUAGAUGACAAGUGGUGUCUUAGUUUAGUUUUAAUUGGCAUAUCUCUGAUUAUGAACAAGGUUAAACUUUUUUUCAUGUAUUUAGAUUCUGAUUCUUUUUUUCUGUCCCUAGUGUCCUGCACAAGGCCUGACGCAGAUGAGGCCUUUAGGAGAAAUUUCUAGAAUGAAUGAAGGAAGGAACAAAUGAACCAACAAAAGAGGAAAUGGAGCCUUGAAGAGGGUGGCUACCUUGCUCAAGGUCAUGGGUUAAAUGAUCAUCAGAGUUGGGAUAAAAAUUGAUCUCUUUUUUUCCCCCUUGGCUAAUUUAUUUUUUUUUCUGACUAAAAAUGAAUUGAAGUUUAUACUAGAAAUUUUGGAAAGCACAGGAAAGUAUAACAUAGGAAAAAUUCAAUCUUUUUAUCCCAAGUAAACCACUUUUAAGCAUUUUAGUAUAUUUCCUCCUAGUCUGUAUGCAUUUUUUCCAUAGUUAUGAUUACACUACAUGUAUGAUUUUAUAUUCUACAUUUGGCCACUUAACACUUUGUAUACAUAAUUUUAAUGGCCAUCCAAUAUUCCACUAUCUGAAUAUACCUCAACAUAUUUAACUUUUCCAUUCCUGCUGGACUUCUAGAUUGCUUCCAGAUUUUUGCUAUUAUAAAUAAAUUCUGCUGUGUUCAUCUUUGUUCACAUUCUGGAUGUUCCCAUUAGGACUGAUUCCUGGAAGUGGAGUUCCUGGAAUCCCAGCACUGAGUUCCAAGUUCAGGGCUUUGCUUGGCUGUGCUCAGGGGAGACAGUUUGCUAAGCUUUGCCUCCUGACCCCCCAGACCCCGAGCCUGACCUGGUUCUCAGUGUCUGUGAUCUUCAGUACACCCAAGACAGAUCAGCUGAUGUGUGGGAGGAACUGGGAGGGAUGGAGCUUACCAGGAAUGGGGAAUCAGAAUCUCCUGCCAUUCUCCCCAGUGCUCCUUGCGCUCAGGGGUUAUGGACAGAUAACCUGGAACCAACAAGAGGAAACGCACAUGGGCAAGGUCAAACCUGGUGACAGGUGCAGGGCAGGAGGGAUGCUGAGUGGGCAUGGCCUCUGCUUUGGAGGCGCUCACAGUGCAGUGGAGCCCCCACCUUAUAAAGGGCUCCAUCUUAGAGUCUGACAUGGUGCCAUUUCACAGAUGGAGGGACCUGAGGUAGCUGUCCAGAGGUGGUGGCUAUUGAGUGUCAUAGUAAAGAACACAGGUCUUUUUUUGGCAGAUGAGGUUGGGCAGUGGCCAAUCCAGAAGGGUCCUGUGAACCAAGGUCUUGGACCUUGUCCUGUAGGCAGCGAAGCAGGGGAAUGAUGGAGUCAGGUCUGAGUUAAGGCCGAGCCUUUUGGAUGCUCUGUGUUGAAACUAGGCAAACAGUUAGGAUGAAAGCAAAACCCAGGCAGGACACAGUGAAGCCUGAAUCAGAGCAGUGGCCAUAAGGAAAAGCAAGGAAGAUCAAGAGACAUUGGAUUGAUACUCGAAACAGAAAAACGUUCUGUUAAUUUAUUACCUCCCUGUGAUGUGAGAGGGUCCCUGGCCUGAAGUCAGGAUACCUGGUUCUAGUCCCAGCUCUGUUUGACCUUGAGUACGUCCCUGUCCUGUAUCCGUUUCCACUUUUGUACAUCAAGGAAGUUGCCCUAGGUCAUCUCUAAGGCUCUUAUGUUUGGAAAAUUCUGUGAUUCCAAGGGUGAAGAGUGGCUGUGGUCCCUGGAGGGGAAAGGAAAGGAAAAAAUCCAGGAACUUAGCAGGAGGAGCAGCCAGGCCUAGAGUCUCGGGGCCCAGGCUCUCUCUCUCCUUUCCGUCAAUGCUGCAGCAUUAAUGUCAGUGGCAGUGGCCUGGGCCAAGGCCAGAAGCCGGCUGAGGGAGGGA